ensembl:snoRNA SNORA74 Small nucleolar RNA SNORA74
CCCAGCUGUAGGCAGCUGCCUAGGUUGCCUUGUACCUAGGCAAGUAUUACACAGCUGGAAGAAAAACAGCUAAUAGCUGGUGCGCAAUUUGGGGCUGCUUUAUGCCAAAUUUGUGUUAACUGUACCAGUGUUCCAGAUAAGUGUGGAAGGCAAGGAAUACCUGGCCGAGGCAUAGAACCCCAGU